rfam:Phalacrocorax carbo contig151534, whole genome shotgun sequence.
ACACAGGACUUUUUAAACCACCCAUAGAAAUAUAAAAAUAGAAU